UACGUAGGGUGCAAGCGUUUGUCCGGAAUUAUUGGGCGUAAAGAGCUCGUAGGCGGUUUGUCGCGUCGGCUGUGAAAACUGGAGGCUUAACCUUCAGCGUGCAGUUCGAUACGGGCAGACUUGAGUUCGGUAGGGGAGACUGGAAUUCCUGGUGUAGCGGUGAAAUGCGCAGAUAUCAGGAGGAACACCGAUGGCGAAGGCAGGUCUCUGGGCAUUAACUGACGCUGAGGAGCGAAAGCAUGGGGGAGCGAACAGG
rnacentral:rRNA from 1 species